CCCAAGUGUCUCAGUGAUACCCGGGUCUCUCAGUGUACGCAUGCCUCACUGUGUCCCCUAGUAUCCUGAGACAAGGAGACACUGAGAGAAAUGGGAACACUGAGACACUGGGAGACUGGGCGACAUGGGGACAGUGACACUGUGAUACAUAGGGACACUGAGAGACUGGGUGACUUGCGAGACAGACACAAGGUGAGACAGGGAGACACUGGGAGCAAUCCAUCUAUACAGCAGAAUCAAACUGUAAGUAGUUUGUGAUUUUACAGAAUUUUCUCUGAUGUCACUCCUUGUGAUUUACAUCAUGUGAUGUCACGCAUAACUAAUUAAUUAUACAAAUUAAUAAGGCUGGUAUUUUUUUACAAGAAAGGUGGCAACCCUAACUAUUCUUCACAUACUCUUGCUUAAAGGAACACUAUAGGGUCAGGAACACAAUCAUGUAUUUCUG